rnacentral:lncRNA from 10 species
GUGUUAUUCCAUGUAAAUGUUAUGCAAUGAUUCAAAAAUGAAUACCAGGUUGAAAGAUGUUAUAACAGUCCCUUGUUCCAAUGAACUCUACCUUUGUGAGCAAAGGUGACCAAAAAGACCACACUGCAUGACCAGCAGCCCACAAACCAGACUGGGCUAAGUUCUGCUGCUAUUUCUAGAGCUUGCUGCUGUUCAAAGCACUCCUUGGGUCCAGCCAGAUUGCCAUACUUUCUUGAUGUAUUUCCCAUGGCUGCUUCAUUUGUUGUUCAUUUCUCUUAGUGCUUUUAGUAGGUUAUUGUUUUAGGUGGCGUAUCUGUACCUCCUCAUAAAAGAUUUUUGGGUCCACAUUUUCCACUCAAAAUCAUAGUAGCCAUGAUGAACACCUGGCAUCCUUUGGACAACUUUCCAUAACUACAUAAUAAUGAGCCAGUUUUUACCAUCCAUAUUAGAUAUGGCUAGAGUGACUAUUUUCUGAAUCAAAAUUGUGCUGAGCAUUUGCCAAAUAUCAGAUAAACUUAAAGCCCUAGAAGUAUCUUAGAAAGUCCAAGGGGAGUGUCAUUGUUCUAGACUUAGUUCAAAAGAUGCUAGACAAUGGCGUCCAAGUUCAGCCUUUGUAGACAUAUAGAGUGAACAUUACCCUUGCUGUUAUAGGUUUUAUUCUCCACUGAGGGCCACAGAGCCUCACCAUUGGUUUGCCCCACACACAACAGGGUAAAUUCCUACUCCUUUGUCAAUUAGGAAUUUUCCAGGCAAUGUGUUUACCUCUUGGGUAAAUACAUUACUUUCAUCAGUGUAACUUAACUAUAAAGUAUUUUUAGAGGAUCAGAUUAUUUGAGUAUGGCUGUGAUAAGUCUCUCCUUAAAUGGACCUUAACAAAGUAGAAAGAAAACGUUAGCAGACAUUUCAGACUAAUGAUGUUUUCUUUUUUUCAAGUGGGUUAUUUAGAGUUGAAUAGCAAUUACUUAAAGCUAGUAGCAAAGGAACAUUUUCUGUAAUGAUGUUUAUUUAUGCCUUUUCAUUCUAUAACAUUCAGCAUGUGACAAAGGAAUUAGAGAAAAGACUAGUCGAAUCUGGAGCCAUGCAAUUAAUGAAAUCCAUAUGUUUGAAGAAAUCGUCUUAUAUAACUCCCAUGCUUCUGAUAUUUCCUAGAACGUCUUAGAUUGAGGUCAUUGUGCACUAUUAACAGAGUCCUGGUUAAUAAUGUACAAUGACCUUAAUUCAGCAUGUUUUUAAUGAAUAGCUGAACUUCAUGCUUAUAACAUCCUGACUAUGCUUACAAAUAUUUUUCUAAAUUGCUGGUCUGUUUGCAGAUGCAUUAUCAGUGCAUGCAAAAAAUAAGAUUAUGCCUCGUUUAGGAUUCUCUUUCUUGUAAAGUCCAAUCACUGCUGCAUUAAGAUAGGUAUGGGAAUGUGUAGGCAAAGUCACAUAUAGUGACACACAUUGGAUAAAAAAUAUAAACUUCAGCCACAUGAUUCUUUCACUCAAAAACAUAAUGUGGCUCUCCUUUAUAUCUUUUUUUAAUGAUUUGCAUAGCUUUCCAUUGUGUGUAUGUGCUAUAAUUUGUUUUAAUAAACCCCCACUAAUUGAUAGCUGGAUUGUUUCCUAGUUUGUAAUUUAUAAACCAUGAUGCAAUUAACACCCAGGGAAACAUAUCUUUGUGUACUUGACAAAUAUUUCUACAGCAUAAGUUUCUAGAAGGGGAAUUUCUGGUUCAAAGGAAAUGUACACUUAAGCUAUGAUUGGUAUUGCUAAAAAACUAUUUGUUUCAAAUUCUCGCCAAUUCUGGGAAUCGGCAUUUUCAAUUUUUGCCAAUUUGAUGUGUCAAAAAUCUUACUGUUGUUUUGAUUUGCAUUUAUUUGAUUAGUAAAGAGUCUGAAUAUCUUUUCAUAUAUUUACUAGCCAUUUUUAUUUCCUCAUUUGAAAACGGCCUAUUCCUGAGCUUUGUUCAUGGUUGUGUUGGAUUGUUCUUUUUCUCAUUAAGUUAUACAAGCUCCUUGUGUAUUACAGGAAAAAAAAAAACCAUCUAUUUUAAUACAUAUGUUGCUUCCAUUUUCAUACUAA